rnacentral:rRNA from 1 species
GAUUUCUGGUUCGGCGCGCUUGGCCCGUCUCGGUUUACGGGAUUGUGUGCCGGUGUGCGCCAUCCAUCCUUCGAUGACGAACAUUACUACCCUUUACUGGGUCGGUGGUGCUUCUCUCGAUCUUUUACUUUGAAAAAAUUAGAGUGUUUAAAGCAGGCUUGCGCUAUGAAUACAUUAGCAUGGAAUAAUAAUUUAGGACUUUGGUCUUAUUUUGUUGGUUUCUAGGACUAAAGUAAUGAUUGAUAGGGACAGUUGGGGGUGCUAGUAUUCAGCGGCCAGAGGUGAAAUUCUUGGAUUCGCUGAAGACUAACUUAUGCGAAAGCAUU